UACGUAGGGGGCUAGCGUUGUCCGGAAUCAUUGGGCGUAAAGAGCUCGUAGGCGGUUUGUCGCGUCGGCCGUGAAAUCUCCACGCUUAACGUGGAGCGUGCGGUCGAUACGGGCAGACUUGAGUUCGGUAGGGGAGACUGGAAUUCCUGGUGUAGCGGUGAAAUGCGCAGAUAUCAGGAGGAACACCGGUGGCGAAGGCGGGUCUCUGGACAGUUCCUGACGCUGAGGCACGAAGGUCAGGGGAGCAAACGGG
rnacentral:rRNA from 1 species